GGGCGAGUCAGAAAUCGUUGAUGUAGGCGAAGGACAUGCGAAAGGUCCGGCGUAGAGGGUAAGACCCCCGUAGCUGAAACGUCAGCGACUCGUUGGAGAGACACCCAAGUAGCACGGGGCCCGAGAAAUCCCGUGUGAAUCUGGCGGGACCACCCGCUAAGCCUAAAUAUUCCCUGGUGACCGAUAGCGGAUAGUACCGUGAGGGAAUGGUGAAAAGUACCCCGGGAGGGGAGUGAAAUAGUACCUGAAACCGUGUGCCUACAAGCCGUGGGAGCGUCGGAUGGAAGCUUGCUUUCAUCUCGUGACUGCGUGCCUUUUGAAGAAUGAGCCUGCGAGUUUGCGGUGUGUUGCGAGGUUAACCCGGGUGGGGUAGCCGUAGCGAAAGCGAGUCCGAACAGGGCGGUGUAGUAGCGCGCUCAAGACCCGAAGCGGAGUGAUCUAGCCAUGGGCAGGUUGAAGCGGAGGUAAGACUUCGUGGAGGACCGAACCCACCAGGGUUGAAAACCUGGGGGAUGACCUGUGGUUAGGGGUGAAAGGCCAAUCAAACUCCGUGAUAGCUGGUUCUCCCCGAAAUGCAUUUAGGUGCAGCGUCGUGUGUUUCUUGCCGGAGGUAGAGCACUGGAUAGGCGAUGGGCCCUACCGGGUUACUGACCUUAGCCAAACUCCGAAUGCCGGUAAGUGAGAGCGCGGCAGUGAGACUGUGGGGGAUAAGCUCCAUGGUCGAGAGGGAAACAGCCCAGAGCAUCGACUAAGGCCCCUAAGCGUACGCUAAGUGGGAAAGGAUGUGGAGUCGCAGAGACAACCAGGAGGUUGGCUUAGAAGCAGCCACCCUUGAAAGAGUGCGUAAUAGCUCACUGGUCUAGUGAUUCCGCGCCGACAAUGUAGCGGGGCUCAAGCGUACCGCCGAAGUCGUGUCAUUCCAGUGUGAGGGCCAACGCCUGCUGGGAUGGGUAGGGGAGCGUCGUCUGCCGGGUGAAGCAGCACCGGAAGGUAGUUGUGGACGGUUGACGAGUGAGAAUGCAGGCAUGAGUAGCGAUACAAACGUGAGAAACGUUUGCGCCGAUUGACCAAGGGUUCCUGGGUCAAGCUGAUCUGCCCAGGGUAAGUCGGGACCUAAGGCGAGGCCGACAGGCGUAGUCGAUGGAUAACCGGUUGAUAUUCCGGUACCCGCUGUGAAGCGUCAAACAUCGAGCAUCGUGAUGCUAAGGCCGUGAAGCCGCCCCGGAGCCUUCGGGCAAAGGGGAGUGGUGGAGCCGCCGGUCCAAGCGGUUAGUAGGUGAGUGAUGGGGUGACGCAGGAAGGUAGUCCAUCCCGGGCGGUGGUUGUCCCGGGGUAAGGGUGUAGGCCGUGCGAUAGGUAAAUCCGUCGUGCGUGUGGCUGAGACCUGAUGCCGAGCCGAUUGUGGUGAAGUGGAUGAUCCUAUGCUGUCGAGAAAAGCCUCUAGCGAGUUUCAUGGCGGCCCGUACCCUAAACCGACUCAGGUGGUCUGGUAGAGAAUACCGAGGCGUUCGGGUGAACUAUGGUUAAGGAACUCGGCAAAAUGCCCCCGUAACUUCGGGAGAAGGGGGGCCACACCCGGUGAUGGGUUUUACAUCCUGAGCUGGGGGUGGCCGCAGAGACCAGCGAGAAGCGACUGUUUACUAAAAACACAGGUCCGUGCGAAGCCGUAAGGCGAUGUAUACGGACUGACGCCUGCCCGGUGCUGGAACGUUAAGGGGACCGGUUAGUCAUUCUUCGGGGUGGCGAAGCUGAGAACUUAAGCGCCAGUAAACGGCGGUGGUAACUAUAACCAUCCUAAGGUAGCGAAAUUCCUUGUCGGGUAAGUUCCGACCUGCACGAAUGGCGUAACGACUUCUCGACUGUCUCAACCAUAGGCCCGGUGAAAUUGCACUACGAGUAAAGAUGCUCGUUUCGCGCAGCAGGACGGAAAGACCCCGGGACCUUUACUACAGUUUGAUAUUGGUGUUCGGUUCGGCUUGUGUAGGAUAGCUGGGAGACUGUGA
rnacentral:rRNA from 1 species